UACGUAGGGUGCAAGCGUUGUCCGGAAUUAUUGGGCGUAAAGAGCUCGUAGGCGGUCUGUCGCGUCUGCUGUGAAAACUCAGGGCUUAACCCUGAGCUUGCAGUGGGUACGGGCAGACUAGAGUGCGGUAGGGGAGACUGGAAUUCCUGGUGUAGCGGUGAAAUGCGCAGAUAUCAGGAGGAACACCGGUGGCGAAGGCGAGUCUCUGGACAACUCCUGACACUGAGGCACGAAAGCCAGGGGAGCAAACGGG
rnacentral:rRNA from 1 species